GCCCUCGUAGCUCAGGGGAUAGAGCAACCGCCUCCUAAGCGGUAGGCCGGCAGUUCAAAUCUGCCCGGGGGCA
rnacentral:tRNA from 1 species